CUGAGCUAUCAGCAAUGUAUUUAGUAUUACUGCUUAUUCUGCUACCAGAUUUAUUUCUGUGUGACUCAGUUCAACAAAGUGAAACACAAGUGUUACGUAAAGAAGGAGAGAGUGUAACACUGAGAUGUACCUAUGAGACCAGCAGUAACUACAUAGACCUUUACUGGUACCGUGUGUAUCAGAACCGAGCACCUCAGUACAUUCUGUACAAAGGAGCCAGGUCCCGGUCUGGGAGUAACACCGCAGAGUUUGCUAAGCAGAGGUUUUCUUCAACCACAGACAGGACCAGCACAACCCUGACCAUCAGACAGACCUCCCUGUCUGACUCUGCCAUCUAUUACUGCGCCCUUCGUGAUACCCACAGUGUGGGAAUGUAAUGAGAGACCCGUACAAAAACUAGCGACACCUCUGUAUGUGCCUGGCAGUCAUUAGUAGACUUUUUUUUUUACUGAACUCUCAAGGCUUUGCUGGAAUAUGUAA